rnacentral:rRNA from 1 species
UACGUAGGGUGCAAGCGUUGUCCGGAAUUAUUGGGCGUAAAGAGCUCGUAGGCGGUCUGUCACGUCGGCUGUGAAAACCCGAGGCUCAACCUCGGGCCUGCAGUCGAUACGGGCAGACUAGAGUUCGGUAGGGGAGACUGGAAUUCCUGGUGUAGCGGUGAAAUGCGUAGAUAUCUGGAGGAACACCGGUGGCGAAGGCGGCAUCCUGGACCGGCAUUGACGCUGAGGCGCGAAAGCCAGGGGAGCAAACGGG